rnacentral:rRNA from 1 species
UACGUAGGUGGCAAGCGUUGUCCGGAUUUAUUGGGUUUAAAGGGUGCGUAGGCGGUCUUAUAAGUCAGUGGUGAAAUACGGCAGCUCAACUGUCGAGGUGCCAUUGAUACUGUAGGACUUGAGUACAGACGAGGUAGGCGGAAUUGACGGUGUAGCGGUGAAAUGCUUAGAUAUCGUCAAGAACACCGAUAGCGAAGGCAGCUUACUAGGCUGUAACUGACGCUGAGGCACGAAAGCGUGGGGAGCGAACAGG